UAACAACUCUUUUCUUUAGUUCUCUCCUAUGUGAGGGUUUUGAGUUCUCUUCCAUGGGAGUUUUUCAGUUCCCUUCACGGUUUUAUUAAAACCUCGUAUCUUCAUGUUUUGUAUAUCUAUUAUUAUUAUCUUUUCUUUCUUCUACUCUAUUUUUUUGUAUCUCUCUUUCUUACUACUUUGUUGUUUUAUUUAUAUCUGACCUUGGGUUCCACACUGUAUUUCUUUUCUUUUUCAGGUCAUGAUUAUCUUUCAUCGGUGAUAGAUCUAUAAUAGUGCAGGCUCUCAUCUAAUGGAAAAUAGCGAUAUAAUGGAAUGGUCAGACCACGCAGGAGUUGAAGUAGACAAUGAUCUAGUUCUUAAGAUCCCUAUUGAUAAAAUUAAUAAUAUUGGGCAAAAAGCUUAUCUUUGUUUAGCAGGAAAGCUAUGGUAUAAUCAUACGUUCAAUGCACAAGCCUCAUGGAUGUAAUGAUAAGAUCUUGGAAACCUAAACAUAAGGUUUCAGUUAAGGUUUGG
rnacentral:lncRNA from 1 species